GACGAACGCUGGCGGCGUGCUUAACACAUGCAAGUCGAACGGAAAGGCCCUGCUUUUGUGGGGUGCUCGAGUGGCGAACGGGUGAGUAACACGUGAGUAACCUGCCCUUGACUUUGGGAUAACUUCAGGAAACUGGGGCUAAUACCGGAUAGGAGCUCCUGCUGCAUGGUGGGGGUUGGAAAGUUUCGGCGGUUGGGGAUGGACUCGCGGCUUAUCAGCUUGUUGGUGGGGUAGUGGCUUACCAAGGCUUUGACGGGUAGCCGGCCUGAGAGGGUGACCGGCCACAUUGGGACUGAGAGACGGCCCAGACUCCUACGGGAGGCAGCAGGGGGGAAUAUUGCACAAUGGGCGGAAGCCUGAUGCAGCAACGCCGCGUGCGGGAUGACGGCCUUCGGGUUGUAAACCGCUUUCGCCUGUGACGAAGCGUGAGUGACGGUAAUGGGUAAAGAAGCACCGACUAACUACGUG
rnacentral:rRNA from 1 species